UUCCGGUUGAUCCUGCCAGAGGCGACCGCUAUUGGAGUUCGAUUAAGCCAUGCGAGUAGAAAGAAAUUAGAUUCUUUGCAUACUGCUCAGUAACACGUGGAUAACCUGCCCUACACUGGGGGAUAAUCUCGGGAAACUGAGGAUAAUACCCCAUAGACCACUACGCCUGGAACGGUGAGUGGUUGAAAGCUCAGGCGGUGUAGGAUGGUUCUGCGGCGUAUCAGGUCGUAGGGGGUGUAAUGGACCUCCUAGCCAUCGACGCGUACGGGUUGUGGGAGCAAUAGCCCGGAGACGGAUUCUGAGACACGAAUCCGGACCCUACGGGGUGCAGCAGGCGCGAAAACUUCACACUGCAGGAAACUGUGAUGAGGGAACUCCAAGUGACUGCACAUUGUGUAGCCUUUUCUUGAAUCUUAAUAGUUCUUGGAAUAAGGGCUGGGAAAGACCGGUGCCAGCCGCCGCGGUAAUACCGGCAGCUCGAGUGGUCGUCGCUUUUAUUGGGCCUAAAACGUCCGUAGCCUGUUUGGUAAAUCUGUGGGUAAAUCAACGAGCUCAACUCGUUGAAUUCUGCAGAGACUGCCAGACUAGGGACCGGGAGAGGUAUGAGGUACUCUGGGGGUAGGGGUAAAAUCCUGUCAUCCUCAGAGGACCACCUGUUGCGAAGGCGUCAUACUGGAACGGAUCCGACGGUCAGGGACGAAGCCUAGGGGCACGAACCGGAUUAGAUACCCGGGUAGUCCUAGGUGUAAACGCUGUGGAUUUGGUGUGUGGGGUCCGCAAUGGGCCCCAUGUGCCGGAGUGAAGAUGUUAAAUCCACUGCCUGGGGAGUACGGUCGCAAGGCUGAAACUUAAAGGAAUUGGCGGGGGAGCACUGCAACGGGAGGAGCGUGCGGUUUAAUUGGACUCAACGCCGGAA
rnacentral:rRNA from 1 species